CCCUCAAAAUACCCCCGUAACUUCGGGAGAAGGGGGGCCCAGAGGGUGACGGGACUUCUCCCCGAGCCUGAACGGCCGCAGAGACCAGGGAGAAGCGACUGUUUACUAAAAACACAGGUCCGUGCCAAGUCGCAAGACGAUGUAUACGGACUGACGCCUGCCCGGUGCUGAACGUUAAGGGGACCGGUUAGCCUCACGGCGAAGCUGAGAACUUAAGCGCCAGUAAACGGCGGUGGUAACUAUAACCAUCCUAAGGUAGCGAAAUUCCUUGUCGGGUAAGUUCCGACCUGCACGAAUGGCGUAACGACUUCUCCACUGUCUCAACCACGAACUCGGCGAAAUUGCACUACGAGUAAAGAUGCUCGUUACGCGCAGAAGGACGGAAAGACCCCGGGACCUUUAUUACAGCUUGGUAUUGGUGUUCGGUACGGCUUGUGUAGGAUAGGUGGGAGACUGUGAAGCUGACACGCCAGUGUCGGUGGAGUCAACGUUGAAAUACCACUCUGGUCGCUCUGGAUAUCUAACCUAGGUCCGUAAUCCGGAUCAGGGACAGUGCCUGGUGGGUAGUUUAACUGGGGCGGUUGCCUCCUAAAAGGUAACGGAGGCGCCCAAAGGUUCCCUCAGCCUGGUUGGCAAUCAGGUUUCGAGUGUAAGUGCACAAGGGAGCUUGACUGUGAGACUGACAAGUCGAACAGGGACGAAAGUCGGGACUAGUGAUCCGGCGGUGGCUUGUGGAAGCGCCGUCGCUCAACGGAUAAAAGGUACCCCGGGGAUAACAGGCUGAUCUUGCCCAAGAGUCCAUAUCGACGGCAUGGUUUGGCACCUCGAUGUCGGCUCGUCGCAUCCUGGGGCUGGAGUAGGUCCCAAGGGUUGGGCUGUUCGCCCAUUAAAGCGGUACGCGAGCUGGGUUUAGAACGUCGUGAGACAGUUCGGUCCCUAUCCUCUGCGCGCGCAGGAAACUUGAGAAGGGCUGUCCCUAGUACGAGAGGACCGGGAUGGACGAACCUCUGGUAUGUCAGUUGUUCUGCCAAGAGCACCGCUGAUUAGCUACGUUCGGGAGUGAUAACCGCUGAAAGCAUCUAAGCGGGAAGCAUGCUUCAAGAUGAGGUUUCCAUGGGGUUUACCCCGAGAGGCUCCCAGCUAGACUACUGGGUUGAUAGGCCGGAUGUGGAAGUGCGGUAACGCAUGGAGCUGACCGGUACUAAUAAGCCGAUAACUUGAC
rnacentral:rRNA from 1 species